UGCAUUUGUUGCUCAAUGAAAAAACAAAUUUUAUUUCCUAGCAAUAUAAAACAAUAUUUUAGAUAUGCCAAACAGUGACGUUAAAACUCUCUUCCACUUUCACACGCAAACAGCAAGUAAAUAGAAAAUUCCGUAAAAAACGACACAAAUACUUCGAAUGCGCCAAGUAUCGACCUAUCUUUACCUAUAGUAACUCAAGUACUAAGAAACCAUCAGAAUGUCAAACCGGCUAAAUGAAAUGGACGAUGAACCUCCAAAGCCAACAAACAAUAAUACUGGAGGUGAGAAGACCGCCGAGGCCGAGGAGGACAAAACCAGAUCCAUUGUAGGCCGUAGAAUUCCCACUUGGUUGUCUACGAUCGAUUGGGCUUUCAGAUGGCUGAUCUAUUUGUACGAGAUGUACAGAAAGUACUCCAUAUAAUUUUAUAACUUGAUAACCACACGACAAAAAUAUUUAAGUUUUUAUUUUUAUAUUUUACUAUUGUGACAUGAUAAAUUCUAAAUUAUACCCGCUCCACUUCAAUUAUGCUGUACAAUUUGUAAAACUUUUAAUAAAAAUUAAAUCGAUUGGAUAGAA